UUUCUUUGUGGCUUAUAUUAAUUAGCCCAUAGAACGUUUUGACACAGCAUGCUUAUCUGUUGUAAAUUUAUAUAUAUAUAAUUUAUUAUUUGUUUUGUUUGAGGCAGUACCCUGAGACGGGCUCCCUCACCAAGUGGAGAUGCCAGGAAUCAAACCCAGGACCUUGUGCAGUAGAGGCGGGCGCUCUACUGUUGAGCUACAACUGCACCCUUCUGUUGUAAAUUUUUUAUUUUUUGUUUUUCUAAGUUUUUACCUCCUGCUACAUAUGAAAUGAGGAUAAGAAAAAACAGGAUUUUUAAGUUACAUUUAUUUCUAAAUGUAACUUAAAAAACAAUCUCUUACUAUUUUUAAAAGCAUUCUUAUCAUAUAAUAUAUUUCAAAUAUACCUAAAGCCAAUAGAAGCAACUGUUCUCUUGAUAACUUCAUUUCUUUAACACUGAGUUAGGUUUUUAACUUAAAACAGGAUAUUUGGAUUUGGGGUUUUUUUGUUUUGUUUUGAGUUUGUUAGUAUAUUGUUUUGUUAUUGUUGUUGUUUGUUUUUUCUUUAGAUUUUUUUAUUACUUUAUUAUGUGUAUGAGUGUUUUGCCUGUAUGUAUGACAGAGUACCAUAUGCAUGCCUAGUGCUUGCAGAGAUCAGAAGAUGGUAUCAGAUCCCUAGCACUAGAGCUAUAGAUGGUUAUUAGCUGCCAUGUGGGUGCUGGGAACUGAACCCAAAUCUUCUGCAACAGGAGCCUGUGCUCUUAACUAUUAAGCCAUCUAGCCAGCCCCUUAAAUGGUAUGUUUUUAGUAUCUGCUAAAUACUAUUUUCCACUAAAUUUUCCAAGUUUAAAUAUUUAUUUAAAAGUGUCAGCCAGGAGUGAUGAUGCACACACACCUUUAGUUGCAGCACUUGGGAAGCAGGAGCAGGUAGAGCUCUAUGAGUCUGAAGCCAGCCUGGUCUACAGAGCAAGUUCCAGGCCAGUCAGCACUAUAUAGCGAAGCCCUUUCUCUUAACAAACAAACUGAAAGUUAUCACUAGUCAUGACUAAUGCUUCUUUUACUUGUUAUUCUCAAUGAUCUUCACUUCUCAGUUUAGAAUUAGGUGAAAGUGUUACAUCAUUUUUGAAACAUUUAAUUGGGGCUGGCUUACAGUUUCAGGGGUUUAGCAGCAGACAUGGUGCUGAGAGUUCUACAUCUUGAUCCUCAGGCAGCAGGAGGUGACUGUCACAUUGGGUGUAGCAUUGAUCUCAAAGCUUUCCCCCAUAGUGACACACUUCCUCCAGUAAGGCCACACCUCCUAAUAGUGCCACUUCCUGUGCCCAGAUCUUCCACACACGCACCUGUGGGGGCCAUUCCUAUUUACCCCUCCAUGUUUACUCGUUUCCUAGUGUGUCACAUUGGAGCCUGUAAUGUCUAGUUGUAAAUUAAGUAUCUUGCAUUGGAAAUAAAGUCAUUCAGCCCCUUUGUUUUACUAAUUUUUUCAGAUGGAAAUUUUAUGUGUAUUUGUGGCUCCCAAAUUUUAAAGCCUGUCUUUUCUGCCCAAUUCUCUUUAGAUGUAAAAAUCAUAUCCUAUGUCUUUAUUUAAAUGUAAAACAGUGAAGUAAAUGCAUAUUAAUUUAGAAAUACUUCCCUGUGAGCUUGCCAGAAUCUUAGAGACAGUUACAGAACUUGCAGCAGUAUGACUAGGGUCUAACCUGUUUCCUCCUCAUUCGCUGGUGUAUUGAGAGCUCCAUAGCCUGGUACUGAUUUAAUGAGAGUGAUUCGGGUUCUGCCUUCUCACAUCUCACACCUCACUGGGGAAAAGGAUCUUUCAGGCAAAGGGUGUUGAAUGAAUAGAGGUAAUGUUGUCUUAUGCAUCUAUACUCUGUGGUCUGAAUUCCUAUGGUUAUUGUCCAACGAGGUAUAACCUGGGUCUGAAAUAAUGCUUCUAGAAGGAAACUGCAGUCACAGUGAGGAAUAAUUAUAUCUAUCCUCUCUACACUGUAGCUGAGUGCCAGGUAUGGAGUCUCUCAGAAACCUGUCCAUGGUGAUUUCAAAUGAACUCAAUGACCGAGGAUCAAAGAAGCAAACAGGCAGAAAAGAGAAAGCCAUCCAUCCAAGCUGCCUUCAGCUUCACACUGGGCAGCAGCUGCCAGUGGAGUUGUUUCUGGGCCUGCCAUUGCUAGUUGUUUAUACGUGGAUUUAAAAUGUAGCAGAAUGUGAUGCUUCAGAGUUGUGAGGUCUUAGGUUUGAAGCAUAGAUAGUACAUACUCCAUUUUAUCCCAUAAAAAAUGUGGAAGUCAGCUUCAUACAGUAAGUUCUGAUUUGUGAGUGAAAACUAUGUAAAACUAGAUAAAAAUCUUUCUUUCUAACAGUAUUUUAAAUUAACAUUUUUCCAUAUUGCCUUACAAGAGAACUAAGGUAGAAAUUUUUCUUAUAGAGUGUUCUAGACAAUUUUCAAAAUCCAUAGAAUAUUAUUAAAUAUUUAGGAAGACACAUAUAUCAUGUUUUUAAUCAUUUGCAUUUACUUUCCUUCAAGAAGACAAGAAACAGUCUACUGUCAGGCUUCACUUCCUAUUCAAUAGUAGUAGCUAACAUAAAGUCAACUUAAGUCUUCCUCUAAGUUAGAAUCAAACC
rnacentral:lncRNA from 1 species